CCACGCAUUACUGGGUGGGUCUCCUUUGGCAGUGACCUGGCUGAUGAGCUACGUGCUGCGCAGUCGCGCAGACACCGCCAAAGGAGAAUUGCCCAGCAAUGCAGCU
rnacentral:pre_miRNA from 1 species